AUUGAACGCUGGCGGAAUGCUUUACACAUGCAAGUCGAGCGGCAGCACGGGGGCAACCCUGGUGGCGAGCGGCGAACGGGUGAGUAAUACAUCGGAACAUGCCCAGUCGUGGGGGAUAACACUUCGAAAGAAGUGCUAAUACCGCAUACGUCCUGAGGGAGAAAGCGGGGGAUCAAGACUUCGCGCGAUUGGAGUGGCCGAUGUCAGAUUAGCUAGUUGGUGGGGUAAAGGCCUACCAAGCCAACGAUCUGUAGCUGGUCUGAGAGGAUGACCAGCCACACUGGGACUGAGACACGGCCCAGACUCCUACGGGAGGCAGCAGUGGGGAAUUUUGGACAAUGGGCGCAAGCCUGAUCCAGCAAUGCCGCGUGCAGGAAGAAGGCCUUCGGGUUGUAAACUGCUUUUGUACGGAACGAAACGGUCCUGGUUAAUACCUGGGGCUAAUGACGGUACCGUAAGAAUAAGCACCGGCUAACUACGUGCCAGCCGCCGCGGUAAGAC
rnacentral:rRNA from 1 species